rnacentral:rRNA from 1 species
UUCCAGACUCCUACGGGAGGCAGCAGUGGGGGAUAUUGCACAAUGGGGGGAACCCUGAUGCAGCGACGCCGCGUGGGUGAAGAAGCGCCUCGGCGCGUAAAGCCCUGUCAGCAGGGAAGAAAAUGACGGUACCUGAAGAAGAAGCCCCGGCUAACUACGUGCCAGCAGCCGCGGUAAUACGUAGGUGGCAAGCGUUGUCCGGAUUUACUGGGUGUAAAGGGCGUGCAGCCGGAGAGACAAGUCAGAUGUGAAAUCCGGGGGCUCAACCCCCGAACUGCAUUUGAAACUGUUGGUCUUGAGUAUCGGAGAGGCAGGCGGAAUUCCUAGUGUAGCGGUGAAAUGCGUAGAUAUUAGGAGGAACACCAGUGGCGAAGGCGGCCUGCUGGACGACAACUGACGGUGAGGCGCGAAAGCGUGGGGAGCAAACAGGAUUAGAUACCCCCGUAGC